GGUGAACGCUGGCGGUAGGCCUAACACAUGCAAGUCGAACGGCAGCACAGUAAGAGCUUGCUCUUACGGGUGGCGAGUGGCGGACGGGUGAGGAAUACAUCGGAAUCUACUUUUUCGUGGGGGAUAACGUAGGGAAACUUACGCUAAUACCGCAUACGACCUACGGGUGAAAGCAGGGGAUCUUCGGACCUUGCGCGAUUGAAUGAGCCGAUGUCGGAUUAGCUAGUUGGCGUGGUAAAGGCCCACCAAGGCGACGAUCCGUAGCUGGUCUUAGAGGAUGAUCAGCCACACUGGAACUGAGGCACGGUCCAGACUCCUACGGGAGGCAGCAGUGGGGAAUAUUGGACAAUGGGCGCAAGCCUGAUCCAGCCAUACCGCGUGGGUGAAGAAGGCCUUCGGGUUGUAAAGCCCUUUUGUUGGGAAAGAAAAGCAGCAGGUUAAUACCCCGCUGUUCUGACGGUACCCAAAGAAUAAGCACCGGCUAACUUCGUG
rnacentral:rRNA from 1 species